rnacentral:rRNA from 1 species
CACGUAGGGCGCAAGCGUUGUCCGGAAUUAUUGGGCGUAAAGAGCUCGUAGGCGGUCUGUUGCGUCCGCUGUGAAAACUCGGGGCUUAACCCCGGGCCUGCAUUCGAUACGGGCAGACUAGAGUUCGGUAGGGGAGUCUGGAAUUCCUGGUGUAGCGGUGAAAUGCGCAGAUAUCAGGAGGAACACCGGUGGCGAAGGCGGGACUCUGGGCCGAUACUGACGCUGAGGAGCGAAAGCGUGGGGAGCAAACAGG